GUUUCAGCUCUCAUACAGAUAUGAUCAGAGGAUGGAGAAGUAGGGGACAGUGCAGUGUAGUGCAAAAAGUGCUGGCUCUGAGGUCAGUAGGAUAAGGUUUGAAUCCCAAUUCUGUCACUUGUUAGUGGGGUGGCUUAGGCAAGUGACUUAACACUUCUGAACUUGGUUUUCUUUUUUGUAAAAUAAAGAUAAUAAAAUCUACCAGAUGUGCCAGAAGUUACCUAGAGAAUAUGACCAGGAAUCGAAUUACUGGGAACGAACCUGAGGACAGCCCACUGAUGGAGGGGGAUCAUCACCGUCUCACUGCUCACAGGGAAGGAAGGCUUACUUGUCUCCAAUCUUCUCAAACAACAGAAAAAUAUAUUUUACUUCAAAAAAUAUUUAAAUCAGCUGUCCAGCUAUGCUCAAUGAGCCCUCCAAGCCACCCUGCAUCAUUCACCUCGCUUGGCUUUCCCUGGCUGGCCUUCCCAUUCGGAUCGGUCCCUGCCACCGCUCUUUGCCUGUGCGCCCGCGCCCUCAAGUCCUUUUCUCAGGACUUUACUGAUGAGAAAUAAAUCUGGUG